rnacentral:rRNA from 1 species
GACGAAGGGGGCUAGCGUUGCUCGGAAUCACUGGGCGUAAAGCGCACGUAGGCGGCUUUUUAAGUCAGGGGUGAAAUCCUGGAGCUCAACUCCAGAACUGCCUUUGAUACUGGAAAGCUUGAGUCCGGAAGAGGUGAGUGGAACUCCGAGUGUAGAGGUGAAAUUCGUAGAUAUUCGGAAGAACACCAGUGGCGAAGGCGGCUCACUGGUCCGGUACUGACGCUGAGGUGCGAAAGCGUGGGGAGCAAACAGG